UACGGAGGGGGCUAGCGUUGUUCGGAAUUACUGGGCGUAAAGCGCACGUAGGCGGCUUUGUAAGUUAGAGGUGAAAGCCCGGGGCUCAACUCCGGAAUUGCCUUUAAGACUGCAUCGCUAGAAUUGUGGAGAGGUAAGUGGAAUUCCGAGUGUAGAGGUGAAAUUCGUAGAUAUUCGGAAGAACACCGAUGGCGAAGGCAGCCCCCUGGGCUAACACUGACGCUCAUGCACGAAAGCGUGGGGAGCAAACAGG
rnacentral:rRNA from 1 species